rnacentral:rRNA from 1 species
GAACGAACGCUGGCGGCGCGUCUUAAGCAUGCAAGUCGAACGGCAAGAGGUAGCAAUACCUCCUAGAGUGGCGGACUGGUGAGUAACACGUGGGUGACAUACCCUUCAGAUGGGGAUAGCUAUUAGAAAUAGUAGAUAAUACCGAAUACGAGCACAGGGGUUAGAGAUCUGUGAGGAAAGGAGCUAAGGCUCCGCUGAAGGAAUGGCCUGCGGCCCAUUAGCUAGUUGGUGAGGUAAGAGCCCACCAAGGCGAUGAUGGGUAUCCGGCCUUAGAGGGUGAACGGACACAUUGGGACUGAGAUACGGCCCAGACUCCUACGGGAGGCAGCAGCUAAGAAUAUUCCGCAAUGGACGAAAGUCUGACGGAGCGACGCCGCGUUGGAUGAAGAAGGCCGGAAGGUUGUAAAAUCCUUUUGAAACUGAAGAAUAAGCGUUGUAGGGAAUGACAGCGUGGUGACAGUAGGUUUUGAAUAAGCAACGGCUAAUUACGUGCCAGCCGCUGC